UGACCUCGGAUCAGGUAGGACUACCCGCUGAACUUAANCAUAUCAAUA
rnacentral:rRNA from 1 species